rnacentral:rRNA from 1 species
GACGAACGCUGGCGGCGUGCUUAACACAUGCCAGUCGAACGGAAAGGCCCUGCUUUUGUGGGGUGCUCGAGUGGCGAACGGGUGAGUAACACGUGAGUAACCUGCCCUUGACUCUGGGAUAACUUCAGGAAACUGGGGCUAAUACCGGAUAGGAGCUCCUGCUGCAUGGUGGGGGUUGGAAAGUUUCGGCGGUUGGGGAUGGACUCGCGGCUUAUCAGCUUGUUGGUGGGGUAGUGGCUUACCAAGGCUUUGACGGGUAGCCGGCCUGGGAGGGUGACCGGCCACAUUGGGACUGAGAUACGGCCCAGACUCCUACGGGAGGCAGCAGUGGGGAAUAUUGCACAAUGGGCGGAAGCCUGAUGCAGCAACGCCGCGUGCGGGAUGACGGCCUUCGGGUUGUAAACCGCUUUCGCCUGUGACGAAGCGUGAGUGACGGUAAUGGGUAAAGAAGCACCGGCUAACUACGUG